UGGCGGACGGGUGAGUAACGCGUAAAGAACUUGCCCUUUAGACUGGGAUAACAGAGGGAAACUUCUGAUAAUACUGGAUAAGUUAGUAUAUCGCAUGAUAUGCAAAUGAAAGCUACGGCACUAAAGGAGAGCUUUGCGUCCUAUUAGCUAGUUGGUAAGGUAAGAGCUUACCAAGGCGAUGAUAGGUAGCCGGCCUGAGAGGGUGGACGGCCACAAGGGGACUGAGAUACGGCCCUUACUCCUACGGGAGGCAGCAGUGGGGAAUAUUGGACAAUGGAGGAAACUCUGAUCCAGCAAUUCUGUGUGUGUGAAGAAGGUUUUAGGACUGUAAAACACUUUUAGUAGGGAAGAAAAAAAUGACGGUACCUACAGAAGAAGCAACGGCUAAAUACGUGCCAGCAGCCGCGGUAAUACGUAUGUUGUGAGCGUUAUCCGGAAUUAUUGGGCUUAAAGGGCAUCUAGGCGGUAAGACAAGUUGAAGGUGAAAACCUGUGGCUCAACCAUAGGCUUGCCUACAAAACUGUUGAACUAGAGUACUGGAAAGGUGGGUGGAACUACACGAGUAGAGGUGAAAUUCGUAGAUAUGUGUAGGAAUGCCGAUGAUGAAGAUAACUCACUGGACAGAAACUGACGCUGAAGUGCGAAAGCUAGGGGAGCAAACAGGAUUAGAUACCCUGGUAGUCCUAGCUGUAAACGAUGAUCACUGGGUGUGGGGAUGCGAAGUCUCUGUG
rnacentral:rRNA from 1 species